GGCGAGCAAUUCAUUACGGCAGUUAAAUCUAAAAUCACACAAAUAAUUAGUUGGUAUCCAUGCAACAAUAACCGUCAGAGUAUCAAUUGUUGUCUGACUCCGAGCGCGUAGUAAACGAAUUUUAUAACCGCCCCCACAUUGAACUCAAAUAAACGGUUUAUAAAAACGGAAUCUGCUCUUUGUUGUAUGGUGAGCCAACAUUGUCCUUAAACCGAGAAGCAUAGUUUCUCCCAGUUGGGACGUAAC
rnacentral:lncRNA from 1 species